AUGGACAUGGAGGCGCAAGCCGCCACCGACGACCCGCACUUCCCCAUCUACGUCUCCUCCGAGGAGGACGACGGCAUUACGUUCCUUGGCGACUCGUUCGACCCCGAGGAGAUGCAGAUCCAGGAGGCCAUCCUCCUCUCCAUCGACUCCUCCCGCGCUCCAACCGCCAUCCCGACCUCCUCCUCCGCCUCCUCCUCGGCGUCCCCGUCCGGGCCCGACGUCGCCGGCACCUCCGGGAAAUCCACCGAAGAGUCCCCUCGCGACCGCAAGGGGAAGCGCAAGUUAUUGGAAGAUGAGCCGAGCGAUUCGGGGAAGCGGCGGAAGCGCAACCGCUUCAGGUGCGCCAUCUGCAUGGAGAAGGUUCAGGUUUCAGAGCAGUUUAUUGUGAGCCACUGUUCGCAUGCCUUCUGCAAUGGCUGCGUCGGGCGGUACGUCGCCACCAAGAUCGGCGAGAACGUGGAAUCGAUAGGUUGCCCUGACCCUGAAUGCACAGAGGGCUUCGUUGAGAUUGAACCAUGCCGAGAUAUCAUUCCCCAGGAGCUUUUCGAUCGCUGGAGUGUUACUCUGUGCGAGCAGUCCCUAGGGAAUGAGAAGUACUACUGCCCUUUCAAGGAUUGCUCCGCGUUGCUGAUCAAAGACAAUGACAGGACGGUGAAAAUCAGGGACACCGAGUGCCCACAUUGCCAUCGGAUGUUCUGCGCACGGUGCCGUGUGCCGUGGCACGACGGAAUCAAGUGUAAGGAGUUAAGGAGGCUUGGGGAUGACGAGAAGGGGGAGACUGAUCUGAUGCUUAAGAAACUGGCUAACAAGAAUAAAUGGCAGAGGUGCCCCAGCUGCAAGAUGUACGUCUCGAGGAUCGCUGGGUGCUUGCUCAUGAAGUGCAGGUGUAAACAGUACUUCUGUUACCAUUGCGCUGCUCCAAUGAGUAAAGCUCUUCACUAUUGUAAGAAUUGCAAGCGGUAG
rnacentral:rRNA from 1 species